rnacentral:rRNA from 1 species
GAUGAACGCUGGCGGCGUGCCUAAUACAUGCAAGUCGAGCGAACAGAUAAGGAGCUUGCUCCUUUGACGUUAGCGGCGGACGGGUGAGUAACACGUGGGUAACCUACCUAUAAGACUGGGAUAACUUCGGGAAACCGGAGCUAAUACCGGAUAACAUUUGGAACCGCAUGGUUCUAAAGUGAAAGAUGGUUUUGCUAUCACUUAUAGAUGGACCCGCGCCGUAUUAGCUAGUUGGUAAGGUAACGGCUUACCAAGGCAACGAUACGUAGCCGACCUGAGAGGGUGAUCGGCCACACUGGAACUGAGACACGGUCCAGACUCCUACGGGAGGCAGCAGUAGGGAAUCUUCCGCAAUGGGCGAAAGCCUGACGGAGCAACGCCGCGUGAGUGAUGAAGGGUUUCGGCUCGUAAAACUCUGUUAUUAGGGAAGAAUAAAUGUGUAAGUAACUGUGCACGUCUUGACGGUACCUAAUCAGAAAGCCACGGCUAACUACGUG